AGUGAACGCUGGCGGUAGGCCUAACACAUGCAAGUCGAACGGCAGCACAGUAAGAGCUUGCUCUUACGGGUGGCGAGUGGCGGACGGGUGAGGAAUACAUCGGAAUCUACUUUUUCGUGGGGGAUAACGUAGGGAAACUUACGCUAAUACCGCAUACGACCUACGGGUGAAAGCAGGGGAUCUUCGGACCUUGCGCGAUUGAAAGAGCCGAUGUCGGAUUAGCUAGUUGGCGGGGUAAAGGCCCACCAAGGCGACGAUCCGUAGCUGGUCUGAGAGGAUGAUCAGCCACACUGGAACUGAGACACGGUCCAGACUCCUACGGGAGGCAGCAGUGGGGAAUAUUGGACAAUGGGCGCAAGCCUGAUCCAGCCAUACCGCGUGGGUGAAGAUGGCCUUCGGGUUGUAAAGCCCUUUUGUUGGGAAAGAAAAGCAGCAGGUUAAUACCCCGCUGUUCUGACGGUACCCAAAGAAUAAGCACCGGCUAACUUCGUG
rnacentral:rRNA from 1 species